AAAAAAAAAAAAAGAUGCCCCAAAAGGAGCCGUCAAAAUGGUGGCAUUACAAUACCUCAGCCUGAAGCUAGCCACAAGUAUCUCUUUUCCUGCUUCAGCAUGGGCCCUUUGUGAAAUACCACCUCAGGAGCUGUCCACAGUGGCAGCACCUUCUCUUCAGCCUCCCUAAGCAGUUCCCAAAAGCCAUCUGUGGCCAGGAAGGAUUCCCUAUCCCAACUCAUGGGCCGGAUGCAGGGGAAAGGAGAUGGAAAAAAAAAAAGGCCAUCGAUCCCUGAGCUCCCCAAACUCAGGACUUGAAAUCUCACCAAUCCUCAAUCUGGAAAUCUCUGCCUUGAAAAGCUUCUCCCCCUAAAAUGUCUGAUAUAAGCCCUGCCCUUUGUCCCUGCCUUGCAGUCUGCUCCUGGGAGCAGAAGGCAGUCACCCCUGGACUCAUCCCUCCAUAUCCUGGACCCUCCAAUAAAUCUCUUCUAUGAAAUUUGCAGCUUGGUGUGACUCUCUCGUUAGAAGGAAAGAAGCAAUGAAGAGAAAGGAAGAAGUAAGGAAGUGGGGCAGGUUUUGUGGUCGGGUGGGGGUUUGAUUUGCUGUGUUAGCUGGUUUUGCGGUUGGCUGGUUGGCUGGUUGGCUGGUUGGUUGGUGUUUUGGGUACUGGUGUCAUACGUAGACAAGGCUGGCUUGAACGCUCUACGUAAGGAAGGCUGUUUUCAAGCUCCACAUGCUCCAUCUGACUUCUCCAGAGUUGAGAUGCUAGGCUCUGCUCACAGUUAUCAUGCUCAUCCUUAGCAGCCUGGACCCGGGGCAAUCCCGGCCUUCAGAGGACCUUCGGAAGCUCUCCUGGAGCCACUGGCUUUCGCACAGCGUUCUCAUUUUCCAAAGUCAGCAAGCAAGGACAGAGGUCUGUGGUGUAGUGGCUGGGGCGGGAUCUCACCGAAGACAUCGGCGAGGCUAGCAAAGGGUACCAGCAGCUCAUAUAUGCAGCCACGUGAUUGGCAAUCACCACUAUGCCUAUAGAAGGUGUCCAUCGGGUCCUUCACUUCUUCCUUCUGCAAGGAAUUCCAGUCCACAAAGCACAGGGUGGUCCUCGUGUCUCCAUGGACUAGACACUGCCUAGUGGGGUUCUCUGAGUUCCCUGUGGAGGCCUCUAGUUCCCUACUGGUUCUGUGGCCAAAAUACAGAUUGCAUUCAAUCCUGCCAUGUUUGUGAGGACAGCCCGUGGAGGUCACCAGCAAGAUUCAGAUGCUUAGAAAACAACCUUUAGCCUGUGGUGCACAAUCUAGGCAUAGAUUCAAGCCUUAGGUUCCUACCACAAAUCCCUUGAGUUAUGUCAAGGGGUACAAUCUAGGUUGCUGUCCUUGCUGGAGUAUCUCUGGGAAAUUUUCCCAUGUCUCAAAGUGGGGCAAUGAACCACACGGACUUGGAGGAAGCAGGGCUUCCUAUAUAGGAAGUGGGCAUCUGCAGGCCAAUCCUCCUUAAAGGCUUCCUGGGGACUGCUUUGGUAGUGUUCCAGAAGGUGGACCGGAUGAUGAGAGGGAACAGUGCCACGCGAGUCGUGAGGACAGAGGAGCGAAGUUGAGACGCCCCAGAAGGAAGGCCAGGAGCAGGUCUGAAAUGAACCUGUGAUUUACAGUAACUGCCAAGGGUUCACCCACUCCCUACUUCUACUUAACGGCAGUCACAAAAAACUCAAAAAUGUAUCCAAAAAUGUCAGACUAAAGAUGAUAAAAGUCAGCUUUCAGCCCUUGGAGUUUUCUAAUGCCACCCGCAAAUCUCAGCGCUGCUCUGGGAUGCGCAGCCAUCCAGAGACCCCUGAGCAUGCUCAGACGGGGACUGAUCUGCAGAAGAGGAAGAUCGCCCCGCAGAAAGAUGCUAAUCCGUGCUUAUCCAUAACAAGGAACAGGUUCACAGAGACUCAGGAGUGCCACUUGGUCCUGACCUGGUACCGAAGCUGGAGCUCUCGCCACUCAGGUUUCGCUCUUCCUAAUGCUCUUUCUGGGGGAUGGUGCCAGGUGUGUUUUCUGAAACAUCUGGCCAUUUCUUGGGGGCAGUGAAGUCACAAGACAGAGAGGAAUCAAGGCUUCAGUCACCUGCAGAAUGUCACUGUCUGGAAGCAGGAGCCAGGUUCCUGUAUGUCCCUGUGCUCCAGUAAAAGAAUCCAAACAGAAAUCUGGGAUGCGGAAGUAGCUGGAAAUGGCCGCCAGGUGGCGCGCAACAAGCCAGCAAGCAUCUUCCUUGCCGGAUCUGGACCUAGCUGCAGACAUGGGAAAGCACCGCACGUUGCCUUUCUGAGCCUGUGAAAGAGUCUAUUUGUAUCAGGCCGCUGGCAUCUCCCAGAAGCAUGGCCUGCCAGGCGCGACCCAGGCAACAGAAGGCACAACUAGACAGCUAGAUCUGACACGCCCCUCAAGGCUCCCGGACCACUCAGGAGCCAGACAGAAUGUCUGUAGCUACCUAUAGAGGACAAGCAGAAAGGAGUGACAGGUAGGCCCUGACCUCAGACCCCCGUGAAACCAUCUUGGCACCAUCGUCGAGGAUCCUAGGAUAACCAUCCAGGUAACAGAUUUUCGAUCAACCUUGGCCUGCAGAUCACCAGUCCUGUGAAACCAGUGAUCCCUGGACUUACCGAAAACUGAUGCAAACCAGAUACUUCUGCAAUAUUCCAGGCUGCCCCAAAGCAGCCUGCACUUCCCAAGGUGGUCAGUGAGCCAGGUGUCCCCAGCAUGUCGCCGGAUCAGCCUUCCUGAGCCCACCCUCACCCCCCAACCACAACACCCUAAUUUCAACCAAGAAGCAGCUACAGAAGAGAUUACAUUACCCUUAUCAUUAACAGACGGCUAGAAUGUCAGGUCCGAAGAAAACUCCAUUUCCCCAAACUCUUGUCAGUUAAAAGCCAGCGUUCCUCAGCAAUUUAUGAAGAGACGGUUUCCCUCUACCAAAGGAGCCAUUUCUCUUACCACUGGCAGAAGGGACGAAUGGCUGUCUGCGGUGCCUACUAGCAUCUAAAGUACAUGCUGGUCUUCAAGUUCCUCCAGGAUCAUAACUCCCUGUUAAAAAGCAGAAUUACUGCCACAUAUGGCAGCACACACCUUUAAUCAAACCAGCACACUGGAGGCAGAGGCCCGCCUGGUCUACAGAGCAAGUUCCAGGACAGCCAGGGCUACACAGAGAAACCUUGUCUCGAUGUAGAGAUAGAAAUGGAGAUAGAUAAAGAGAUAUAGAUCAUACAUAAUAUAGUAUAUAAGAUAAGAAAGAGGGAGAGAACAUUUGUUUGCCAACCGAAAUUCUCCCCUUCUGCUGCUUCUGGGUGUUAACAUAGUAAGUCCCUGUGUCAUAAACUGGCUCCUUGCUAUGGUUUGCUGUAGAGUGCCUUGGCAAUUUGGGGCCAAGGCAUGCCACAGAGAUUACACCACAUGACAGACCUCACACAAGAGACUUGUUAAGAAGAGGGAGUAGAAGGCCAUCUCAGAGCAAGAGCAUGAGGAAGGACAGACAUGUCCGUGCUGGUGAGGACCUUUUAAAGGGCAUUUGGUGACUGGCGAUGACAUCACUGCUGGCACUGAGUCCCUGAAGAUGGGCUGGGAAAGCACCCAAUCUCCAAAAUUCCUCCCUUAUGUUUACUAUAAAAGGUGAAGUUGGAAGGGGUGAUCUGGUGUUAGGAGCAGCAGCAGGCAGCAGUUGCUGAGGUUGGGCAACUGGACUGGCUGCUUAGAAGCUGUCCGGGAUGCAGAUUUUGAGGAAAAACCUGGACCUGGCAGGAUAAUGGAACACACACACACACACA
rnacentral:sRNA from 1 species